AGCAAAAAAUGUCAGCAACUUUUAAGUUAGACCCAAGUGUUUUAAUCCACCAUUGAAGGUUCAGCUCCCCUUUGCGCGUUAAUUUCCUUUGAGAUUGCAACCCAAAACCCUCUCCGCCGCGGUGCCAUCACUCUCUCCAUUACAGAAUGGAUAUUACCCAGUUCCAACCUGUUGAUAGGAUAAGCAACCUUACUGACAAUGUAGCUGAUAGCAUUCUAAUGCAUUUGACUUUACAUGAUGCUGCAAAGACAAGUAUUCAAAACAAUGGAGGUAUAAAUGGGUCAAACUACCCCAACUGAGAUUUGAUGAGACGCUAUGGCAAGAAUAUGAGGGAAACCUAGAAUCAGCUAGAAUGAAGUUCUUGUUGAUCCUUUACAAGGUUCUUUUGCUUCGUAAAGGACCCAUAACAAAAUUGAGCUUCGUUAUUCUGAAACUUAAAAUUGCUCAGAAAUUGACGACUUGAUACAUAUCUUAUGGAAGAACAGUGUUGAAGAAUUCACCUUUAAAAUCAAGAGCGGAGAACUGUACACAUUGCCUUCUUCACUAUUUAUGUGUUUACAUUUGAAACAUUUGAAGCUGUUGUCUUGUUUGAUCAAUCCACCUCCACCAAGCUUUGAAGGAUUUAAUAGGAUGAUUUGGCUGGAAUUGCUUGACGUGACAAUUGAUUAUGAUGUAUGUAUUAGGAAGUUUGAUAUCUAGCUGCCCAUUACUGGAGAAACUGUUGCUGAAUGUUUCAAACAAAUUUGACUACUUAGAAAUUGAUGCUCCUAUGCUAAAACACUUUGAAUUGACAUGUUUCCCUACAUCAUUGUUUUGUUUUAAGAAAUUCACUCUUCUUGCAAUAAUUUUGGUUGCUUCACAUAAUGAUUGGGUGGUUGACAAUAUUUUGGAAGAUGGGAAAUGUAACUUCAUUCAUUUUUUUAUUCUCUGCCUGGCCUUCAGAAAGUGUACUUGAACUAUACUGUCAUUAAGGUAUUUUUGAUUAUAAAUACAAUCCCUUGUAAUCGUCAAGUUAACUACAUUAGAUCAUGCUUUUACCACUGCUUUCAAGAUUUUGGCUGCAGGUCAAGUCCAAGAAAGGCUUCCAGCUACUUUAAUCCACCUUAAAGUUCUGAGGUUAUUUUAUAUAUUUUUUAGUUUAUUGGAUGAACUCUCUUGUGUUCUGUGCUUGAUCAGAGGUUAUUUUAUAUAUUUUUUAAUUUAUUGGAUGAACUCUCUUGUGUUUUGUGUUUGAUCAGCAGCGCCCCCAACCUUUAGGAACUGAGAUUCGAGAUUUGUGAGAGUGCAAAUGCUGAUGCUAGUCCUAUUCUAGAUUUUAUGUAAGUGCAAGACUACGCAGAUGUAACUUCAAAUCGACUUCAAAAAGUGAAGCUGCUUUUAUUUUAGGCACAGUUGCUGAGAUGGCAGUCACUAAGCUUUUGAUAGAAAAAUCGCCGAAGCUGAAAAGAAUGGUGAUCUGGUCAAUUUUCAACACUGUCAUUGACAAAGGACUUCAGAUUCUGAAACAGUUGAACAAGUUUUGGUGAGCAUCUCCUGUUGCAAAGGUCGAUUAUGUAGAUUUUGAAGAUGAAGUUGAAGUUGAAGACGAGGACGAAGAUAAGGACGAAGACGAAUCCUGAUCCUCUGUCUAGCUAGGAGGUCAAGAGUACUUCCAUCUUGUGACACUGGCUUUCGAAACAAUAGUUUUUAUGUCUCAAUUGUCUAAGGUAUUAUGCCGGUUAACAUCUCAGGUUCCAGAUCAUAUCAAGAAAACAUUUAUUAGAUUGCGUGUUAUUUCGUUUGAUAGGUUUGCUCAAAGCAAUUUUGAAAGCACUUAAUAUGUUUUCAAGACGUGGAUCAUGCUUCCUCCAGAUAUGGUUUGAAAAUCGAAGCUGCAGACUUCUGAAAGAUUUGUGUAUAAAAUUCAUGAUCUUAUGUGCA